rnacentral:rRNA from 1 species
AUGCCUUUCGGUCUGAUGAAUGCACCGGCAACCUUUCAAUGUCUGAUGAACAAAAUUUUUGCCAAGUAUAUCCGCAAGUUCAUGAUUGUUUUCUUAGAUGAUAUUCUGGUAUACAGCCACACUUGGGAAGAACAUCUAGAGCACCUACGAUUGGUUCUAGAAAUUCUGCGUGAGAAUAUUCUGUUUGCUAAGUUGCCCAAGUGCUCCUUUGCACAAACUAGCAUCCAGUAUUUGGGCCACACUAUUUCCAGCACAGGUGUGGCUACCGAUCCAGAAAAGACUUAA